ensembl:lncRNA LMX1B-DT LMX1B divergent transcript
AAGUUUUGAUCGUCUUCGAAACAAAUCCCUCUGCUCCACCCCCUUGAAAAAUUGAUUUGGGAGUUGGGGAGCGAAGGCUUUCUUUUUUCUCCUCUGCCUUCUUUAUUAUUAAUAUUUUGUAAAGCUCCAGCGCUACGAGGAGUGGCCCCGAGCGAGGCCAGACUGCGCGGACGGCAGGGAGCGCGGCGGCUCCGCCAGGGGACGGCGCCGGCCGGGAGUGGCCGCUUGGGAACCCCCGACUGUCGGCCGAGGGUUGUCGAGAGGCUGAAACAUAAGUGCUCACCACAACACCCAGCACCUACCAGGCCUCUAUACAUAUUUGCCUGUCUGGAACCGGGAGCUUCCCCAGCUGAGGACCACAGUGAGAGCAGAGAAGACCCAGGAUCGUAUUUGAAACCAUAAAAGCCACAUGAAGACACUAAGAAUAACUUGCAGAAAGACAUUUUCUAUGAAUUGAACACAGAGUCCCAAAACCCAGAAAGUUCCCUGGUCUCUAUCUCAUGGGC